rnacentral:rRNA from 1 species
UACGUAGGGUCCGAGCGUUGUCCGGAAUUACUGGGCGUAAAGAGCUCGUAGGUGGUUUGUCGCGUUGUCCGUGAAAACUCACAGCUCAACUGUGGGCGUGCGGGCGAUACGGGCAGACUGGAGUACUGCAGGGGAGACUGGAAUUCCUGGUGUAGCGGUGAAAUGCGCAGAUAUCAGGAGGAACACCGGUGGCGAAGGCGGGUCUCUGGGUAGUAACUGACGCUGAGGAACGAAAGCGUGGGUAGCGAACAGG